rnacentral:lncRNA from 1 species
AACAGCUCAUCCAGGUAAACAGAGCGUUUCAUUUUCUACUCUACAUUGCAUUGUUGUGAAAAUCAAGUAUUGCAGCUUGAUUGCAUAGACGCAAUUAAAACAAAUUCAUCGGCGCUGAUUGAAUUGGCAGAUGAAUGGCAGAUGAAGUUCCUGAAAACGGUGAUCGAAUUGAUAGAUCAUCAUAAUUUGGCUGUGUUUAGGUAGGGGUCAGGAUUAGGCGGGGCGGGAUGCUGCUGUCCGCAAACACAAACGCGGGCGCCAGCGACUUAGAGCAUCUUCACCCGCGUCCUCAAAACGCCCUCUCAAUCGAUGUUUUAAUUGUCGACGCUAAAAAAAAUCGUUCAGUCGUGCUUCAUGACGUCGUUUUUUAACGGAUUUGACUAAAACUAGCACUGGCGGUCCCAAGCUGAACCCGCCCCCCGAAGGACGCUUGGGGACGACCGACGCUAUUUUUACAUGCACAAACCCCACCGACCUGCAUCUCUCUUCUCUCUCUCCUUCCUUUCUUUGUUAGGUCCACCAUGUACAUGUAAAAAAAAAUCUUUACUUUCUUUUAUCUCUCUUCUUAGUGGCCGCCUAGGAACCAAGCCCUACCAAACCGUUUUUCUUGUCGGUUAACCCUCACGCAACGCUAUUUUGGCCCUUAGGACGCCUAACGGCCAGAGAUGCUCUUAAGCGGUCAUCAUGGCUGCCCGUUACAUGCCGGCUACAUUUAUUGUUGACAACGUGGCAGCCUGUAUGAUCCCGCUACAAACCCGCUUGACGUAUGUACCUUUACAAGACCGAACAUGUUUUCUGAUGACAUGUCGCCCUCCUGAACCUGUCCACCUCCAGCUCCGUCUCGAUAACCUUGUCGGCGCCGAGGAACGCCCUGACGAACGGCUCCAUCAUCAGUCGGGGGCUCGCGGUGAUGAUGCACCUCCUGCCGAACGAGCGGAACACCCGCCACCCAUCAGGGUGCUCGUCGCGGGUGUAGAACGGACGCGGAUUUUGUCUAGCCCAUUGCGCGCACAACCCAUAUCAGGUCCAUCCAUCCGGCAUGCAGGUCAAAUCAAUCAUUCCACAUGCAGGUCAAAUCAAUAGGUUGCUUGUACCUCUUUCUUCUCUCUCUCAAACAAAUCCAUAUUUUCAUUACCCCUUUAUAAACUUAAAUCGUUUAUAUCUUCUAAACCGAUAUUUCAAUUUUAUUUAUUUUUAUAUAUUUGAACCUCUAGCGCAAAGACCUUUAUAACAAGACCGAUGUUGAAUAUAUUUGGACUAGUUUAAAAAAUUUGAGUGAAGAGUUCUUCACUGUUUCUAGCAAAGUUCGGACAAGCUGUUUAUAUAGCUCUUCAGUUCCAAAAAGAUUUUCUAGCAAAGUCCUUCAAUAUUUCUGACAAAGUGCAGACCUAGUAUUCAGAAAGUUCUUGAACUCCUGAAGUUUAUUGAACUAUACCACAAAGUUCUUCAAACUUUUCAUACAAAGUACCGGCUAGGUAAAUGUAAUAUUUCGCAAAAUAAUAAUUCAAUAUUAUUCUUAUUCUAAAGGUCUUUGCGUCAUGAUUAUAGUGAACUAAUUUAUUUUGAAAUCGGAAUAUUGGUUUAGAAGAUAUAAAUGAUUUAAGUUAGGAAAGGUGAAAUAAAAUGGAUGGAUUUGUUUCGGAAAGAGAAGAGAGAAGAAAGAGAGUGGACAUGCAGAUGUGACAUCAUGUGUACUAGCUGAUGUGAUGUGCAUGAAGAUGUGUGGUGAAGAUUUGAGUCGGGCAAUGAGUUAGGUAUAGCCAUAUUCGGUGUAGAACCUGGUGUGCACCCACUGGGCCACCGUGCAUCUGCCCGAGAGUUCAGGGCAUCUAUAUAUAUGCACCUCCAUUAGUGUGAGAUCCAUGGUCAUCCUUCCAUAAUUCCAUAUAUCUAAGAAGUCCUCUGGAAAAUGAGCAUUUUCCGUGGGAACUUUUGCUGAUCUGCAGCCACUCAUAACUUCGUCCCAGAUCUUUUCUUUUUUCGAAACAGGCUUUCGCCCCGCUUUGUAUUACAAAGCAACCACUUUCGGUACAUCCAACGAUAGGUGCUGGAGCGGAAACAGCACAUGCACGCCCAAAAGAAACAACAAAGAAAGAGGCAAAGAAACAAAUGCCAACAACAGCGGAUCACCGAAAACGGAGAAGCCUCGCGACCAUUGCGUCCACCGAAGAACACCCACCAAGCUCGUAGACUCCGAGACGCCGGUACCAAUCAACACCUCCAAGAAGGUCUUCCCUUACCCAUCAAUCGGCACCGACCGCGACUGCUCAUCCAUUCACAUCCACUGCCAGAGAAAUCAAACAUGUCAAAUUCAAUGGUAACAUGAUUUUCACGUGUUAAGUAACGAACGAACACAAGUUUUUCUAUAAGAUCAAGGGAAACUUGGAUGUUAGAUAAAGAAAGUGGCGUAGAUGUAGAAGGAGCAAAUGCAUGUCCGAUAUGGGUAAUGGGAAGAGAGGAACCGGCAUCGACGGUGAUACGAGUAGAGGUGUUGACUGGAUAGGAGGUGUGGAGAGUAUCGGGAUGAGCGGCCAUGUGAGCCGUAGCACCGGUAUCCAUGUACCAGUCGCCACCGCCGGUGUAGUUGGACGGUGUAGAAGAGGAGUGUAGAGCCUCCAGCAAGGCCGGGUCCCAGGCCGCUUGGGAAGCGCGGGAGCCGGUGGCUGUGGCGGGUCGUCAUGGAGAGCGGCGGCAGCCCUCCUGGCUGCGGUAGCUGUCCAAAGGAGAGGGAGGCCCAUACGACGCCACGUAGGGCUGCGGUGUGGCGUAAAACGCUUGAUGCGAGGGAGAUCGUGGACCGAUGAUGACGGGAGUAGGCACAUGUGGAACCCACAUGGAGUAAGCAUGCACGAAGCCGGACCAUGGGUUCUGCCUGACAUACCACGGAGCCGGUUGUUGCUGCUACUGUGGACGGGCUGCUCCUCCCUGAGCGUCGCUCGGCUGCUGCUGAUGGCACCCCUUGCACUGACCACCGCGGCGACGGCUGUUACUAGGUGGAGCCUGCUGCUGCUGUGAGAAGGGAUCUGAUGCCUGUGGGAAAUUCGGCUACUGCGUGGGGGCGCGGCUGAGGUGCAGGCGACGCCAGUCCGUCGCGGGAGGCAGUGGUGAGAGCCGUGUGCGUGGCCCGUAUCCGCUCCAUCUUCACCCGCCUCUCCUUGAGCUUGAGGUACGCCAACCCCUUAGCGAAGGUAGGCUCCGGGAUGAGAGUAAGGUUGGAGGCGACGUUCCCAAACUCAUCAUUGAGACCAGCGGUGAGUGUGCUGAUGAGGAGCUCAUUGCGGAUCGUCUCGCCCAGAUCACGAAGCUCAUCGGCAUGCUUUCUGAGGCGCAUGCAAAAAUCAUCAAUGGAUGAAUCAAGUUGUUUGCACCCAUAGAACUCGCCGUGAAGAAGGACCUUGGGCUGAAGUUUGUUGUCGGUGAAGAGGCCGUUGAGAUUGGUCCAUACGGCGUAAGCGUUAUCAUCGUCGCAUACAACGGUGUGGAAGAGGUCCUUGGAGAUGGUGAGGUAGAACCAGCGGAUGAUGGUGGCGUUGCGGGUCAUCCAGUCCUCGUCAUUCACCAUGAGACGGGAGUCCACGAUGCCAUCGAUGUGACUGUGGAGCAGGUACUCAAGGAACACCAAAGAGAAGUACCUCUUUCAGGCGGAGUAGGAGGCGGUGGACUAAUCAACGAUCACUGGAACGCGGUCGAAGAUGUUGAAAUCGCGAACGAGGGGGACGUCCGGGCCGACGAACGGAUUGCUGCCGGAGGAGGCCGAGUAACUCAGAGAGACCAUGGCAGCGGGCGAUCGGCGGCUUCGGGUGGUAAGGGUGAGGGUGGCGGAAGUGGAUGAUGCGGCGGUUGCGCGUUGGUGUGCGCGACGACGGCGGUGGCCCGUGAUGGAGGGCGCGGCUGUGGUGGCGGCGGUGCGCGAUGGAGGGCGCGGCGGCGGCGGCUAGGUUAGGAACGUGGAGGAAACUGAUACCAUGUAGAGACUUAGGUUUGGACUGUGCAACUCUCAAUAUACUGAUUGGGUGCACUAGGCACGUAUAUAUAAGGUACAAGAUGGGUCUUAAUCUCAACUAUACAAAGAACUAGGAGGUGAGCCUACGACACAAUAUACAUACACAAAUAGGUAUUCAACACCUAUGAUAAUGAGUUUCAUGUACAUAACGAUAAACACUGCCAGAUUAGUGUUUCCAUAAUUAUCCGGGCAUCGAUUUUAUAUUAUUGUAUCAAAAGCAGUAUUUAAAAUGUCACAUAUACAGUGCGUGCUCUUCACAAUAUUGCAAUGUACAUUUUUCAUAUAUUUCUUCCGCAAAAUAUUCUAGGGUCACUUGUUAAUAUUUCUUGGAAAAAGACAAACGGCAUUGAUUUUUAAACUAAGUAUUAUGUGGUAUUCCAGGUAGCAAGAGGACUGGCAGAAAGAUACUACCAAUAGGUAUGCUAACACUUGCACUUUUUUGUCACAUGUUAUGAUUUAAAUGCCAGUAGUUCCUCAACGAGGAUUUUUGAGAUAAAUAUUUUUUCAGUUUGACUCUACAAUAUUUGCAUAAAACAAGUCAAUGGGGAGCAACAAAAUAUGAUCUUCCUUUUCCUAUUGCUGCCUUGUACUAUUUCAAACCGUUCUUAGGACCCGUUGCAGU